CGGGAAGGGCUCGGAUACGCCGCGUGGCCCGGGGAAGGGCCAAUGGCAGGGGCAAGUGCUUCUUCCCGCCCUUCUGGAAAGGGAGCUAUAGAAUCCCGUUCGAAGAUGGUGUCUCUUUCCUUCCCUUAAUCGAGGCCCAUUCGAAAAGGGCGGGAAGCAAGGAUCAAAGGGAAGAGGUCACGCCGGCCUCGUCUUAAAUCCGGGUUAGGCGAAAUCAGUGCUUUUUAUGGGGGCACGCAGGGGGUGCGCACACUCCUAAACGUUUUGUACUUUGUCCAUUUAGUGUAUUUAUUUUUUGCAAUUUGAACUAUACAGUAAAAUGGUGGUUUUCUUGAGUCAAAAUGAAGUACCCCCUUAAACAUUUUUUUUUUUUAAAAAAAGCACUGGUCGAAAUAGUUUUGGUUUUGCAGGAAGGCGCCCUAAUUUUUAACCCCAAAAAAUAGAAAGGAAAAGAGAAAGUAGAGUUUCCUUUUCUCCUGACACAUCGGCCUGGAAGUUGUUUGGACCCUUUAAAAGGUGCUAUUAAGGAUGCAGAAUAAUAUGCUGAGGGUGGAUAGCAGUGUAAAUUGAUUAAGAAACAACAACAUCUCCAUCAUUUUGACAUGUUAAGCUGGGGGUGGGGGAAGGAGAGAGAACUUUCCAGGAACUCUUUAAGUUUGUGUUGUUCCAUGCCAAGAAGUUGUGGGGCAGAGAGAAUUCAGCUUUACGAUAAUCAGUAGUAAUAAUAUAAUCACAAUAAUUAUUACAGUAAACAGCCAUUUUAAAAUGGCUUUUUUAUUGCUUGUGUUGCUGUUAUUCGGUGGUAUUAACAAGCAGAGUUAUAAGGUGGUCCACCUGCCCUGCUUCCAACACCAGCAAGCCACACUGUUCCUCCACUGGCUGUUUUCAUUCUCAUAAUGCAGCUAUAUAAGGUUAAUAUAAGGAUAUAUGCCUGCAAGUUGCAGAACAUGGGAAACAGCUAUAAUAAAAGGGUGCAGAUAAUAGCCAUCUUGCAUAUUUUAAUCCAUCCCUUUCCAGGGCAGUUAAACAUAAAUCCUGGCUGGAAUUAAACUUAAUGUUUCUAUUUCCCUGUUAACACUACUGAAAAAUAGCACUUUGGAUGAAUUUAAUUAAAUGAGGAAGUAAGUGAAGGUUAGUUGAGUGUCAUAGUUUCUGAAGACUCUUGAUCUAGAAUGUGAGAACAGGCCUUUUAUGUAGGGGGGAAGGUUAUUUACUGUAAAUAGGAGCCACAACGGAGUAUUCCGUGGGGGCCGAGACAACAAGCUCACAGGUUACAUUACUCAGAAGGGCUUUGCUCAGUGCAAAUUCUUUCCACUUUUUGCUAGUUACUGUUUUACUUUCCUUGGAUUAGUGCCCUCUUUGAAUAAACUUGGCAGAAUGACUUGAAGAAAAAUCCAAAUGAGAGCCUCAAGAGACAGUACUGGAUAACUAGAGGCUGCCUUAGAUAUGGUGCACCAGUACUGCAGUAAUUCUUUCAGUUACUGAUACUGCUGUUGCAAACUUUAAAAACUUAAACAGGACCAGUGUCUGUUGGUGAAUGUAUAUGCAAGCCUCCCAGUUAUGCAGGGCAGCUGUUUUUCCAUUCAGUUUUUUUCUGAUGAAGAAUUCUGUGCUACCUGGAAGUUUUUGUAUCCUGUCACCAAGUUGCUUUUUCAGAAACCAGUUGUGGAACUUGAUUCUAGGUAAAUGGUCCAUGAGAUUGGGUGAGCAGGAACUACAAAGUAAUUGGGAGGUUAUAAUACAUCAUUUGCCAAAGAAAACAUUGAUUCCUUGCUCUUACAUGGAUAUCUGACAUUUCAUUCUAAGGAUACAAGCAGUGCUUUGUAGAUUGAGAACAAACCUAUGAUGUAAUUUGGAGAACAUGAGGUUGAUGGGAGAGGACUUGGCUGAGCUGUAGGAAUGCUUUAAGGUUCAGUGGGGAAGGCUGUGAAACUCAAAGGUCGUGGAUUUUUAAAUGUUGCCAAGUUAAUAGUUUGUAACUGAGAGUCCAAGGUAUUUAGGAAGCAAACAUUACAGGGUGGGAAGAUUAGUGAAAGAUUCUUUUCAUGAUAUAGUAAUCAGAAAAGGACUGAGAAGCACAAUGGGCAAGCAGUAAAGGAAAAUAUGAUUUUUUAAAAAUCCUAUUUUAAUUCAGGGAAUGUUCAGCUGGUUUGGAAUAAAUGUGAAAGCACAUAAACUAUGAUCCAGAUUCCAGACUAGCCCCACUUUUAUAUACGUGCAGAUGAAUUAUUGUUCCCCCUCCGUGUGUAAGGGCUGAAUAGCUGCAGAUUCACAGCCUUUAGGGGGAAAUUGUAUUCUCCUUGCCAUAUUCCAUUCAAAAAGCAGCUCCAUUGACAUUAAUCUGUGUAAAUGGUUUGAGGACUGCAUCCUUAAAGUUCUGGCAGUGAAAUUGAGGCAGACUUUGUUAUUGUAGCUCCAAGAAACUCCUUGUGGUAGAUGUGGAGACAAAGUACGGCACUGAGUGUUGAGUCCAAUGUAGCAUCUUAUUUAUAUCAGUUACUAAUUUGGAAUUAAAGUUCAAAAUGUUUCAGGUCAAAGGCAUGCAGACAGGCCUAAAGGAAUACUGUACUUUCCUUUACAUCUUCAUAAACGUUUAUUUUCAUUUUGGAAAGGCUAACGAAAUGUUUGCCAGUCCAGUGGCCCGGAUCCUUUCCAUUUAAUUUACGUACAUGUGGGUAGAUUAUGUACAUGUGGGACAGGCCAAAUUUCCCAAUAAAUACAUGAAAACAUGCAAUCCGUAUAUUGGGUGAUAAUGUUAGAGUAGGCCUAUUAAUUUCAUUGGGUCUACCCUGAGCAUGAUUUAGUUGGCUAUCACCUAUUUAGAUUAUUUUCCUGUGUCAUUUUCUUUUUCACAGAUAUAUCAAUCUAUCUAACCUAGUACCCUUCUUUCAACAGUGGCCAUCCAUAUACUCCUGGGAAGCACACAAAACAGGGCAUCACUGAAAUAGGUAAGUAUUCCUUGAACAUCUCAGUCAAGAGGUAGAGUGCCUCUGAACAGAGAGGUUCUGCUUUAGCUAUUGUGAUUGAUAGCUGUUGGCAGACCUCUUUUUCAUGAACCACCAACUGAGAGUAUUUUAGGUUGUAGUCCUCUAAACACUUGCAUACGUACCUCGUGAGAAGUUCCAUUGAGCUCACUGGGACUUACUUUUUUUGCUUUAUUUUUUAGUAGACAUGCAUAGGAAGAAUUGCACUCUUCCAGUGCAAUCACAGAACCAUAAACCUAAGUACUUAAAUAGAAAUAAUUUAGCCCACCUAGAUAAUCCUGGGAAACAGUAUUUAUAAUGUUAUUUGCGCUAAGGUAGAUGGAUUGUUGCUUGUAGUAGUAGCAGCAGAUGAACUCUGCUACCAUGGAAAUUGAUUGUAAACUUGCUUAUAACAGAAUGCACCAGUAUACCAUGCUCAGCAAACAGUUAAGUGUAAAAAUAACCAAGGUUUUAUUGUAAAUUAUGUAUUGUUCCUUAUUUACUAUACCACACUUUAUGUGCACUUUUGGAUUCCGAUUUGAUUGAAACUCAUAAGAUCAAAGAAAACCUGUGGUUCUAGCAAAGGGAGCAGCUUAUAUUUGGGUAUUGUCUUUUUUCUCUCUCCCCCCCCCCCCCCCGAAUUUUAAAGGUGCGGCUUAUAUUCUGGUGUGGCUUAUAUUCGGGCCAAUACGGUAUAUAUUUUCUUGUGCUUUUUGAAAGUCCUCCAUGAGAAAGGUUGCACCUGAAGGCUCUCUAUUGAGGCUCAUGCUGCAGAGUAAUGUAUCUGUGGCUUGCAGAGCCAAACCAUGAAUGUUUUUAUACUAUUCCACUCUCAUGUCUAACCAGAAUUUUAUUAUUUUAGUCCCUAAUCAUAGUUUCUUAUUUUUGUCUGUCAUAAGCUAGGAAUUUGGGACAGAAUGUUUUUCUCAUUCUGGUUCCAGAAAUGAAAAGAUGCAAAAUAGUUAAGGUAAUAUUAUCUUACAUUUGACUGAGGCCUGCUGAAAACGUAGUAAUUAGGAAAUUAAAUUGGAAAGAAGAUAAGGUUUGCUGCAGUAAAAUUUUAUUAAUAGAUAACAAGUAGGUCAGUUUUCAAGAGCUAAGGGAGCUGCGAACGUUACAUAACAGCUGGAUAGAAACCCAGUGAGGCCAGCUGGGCUGCCUUUGGAAAUUUUUAGAAGAAUUUGUCAGAAAUGUGGAACUGCAGCCAGCUAGUAUAGGUUCAUAGCCUCUGUAAUUUUUUCAACAACCUUAGAUGGAAGAGGGCAAGCAAGCACAGCCAGAUGUCAAUCCCUGUAUCUUUUGCAUGAAGUGUCUUAGGCCUUUCAGACAGUUGUAGGAGUUGAAAUACAGUUUGUGGCUUUACAUUUAAAGCACAUUAGUUCUCCCCAAAGAAUAUUGAGAACUGUAAUUUGUUAAGGGUGCUGGGAAUUGUAGCUCUGUGAGGGGCAAACUAUAGUUCCCAGGAUUCUUUGGGGGAAGUCAUGUGCCUUGAAUGCAUUUUAAAUGUAUUGUGUGUAUAAGUUGUCUCUGUGAGUAAGUAUGAAGAAACACACAUUAUUGACCCUCUAUCACAUCAGUCCUUCUAUAAAGAGUUCUGUAGGAGGCAUUCUAGUCUAGCAAAACAACACCAACUACUUUCCAUCUAAUCUUAUAACUUGCCUUACGAUGGCAGUGAGUCUUAAAAUUGCUAAAUGCUUUGUUUGAAAUGUCCUUUCUAUAGGGGUGUGACUUGAUAUUAAUGGAAAAACUGACCCUAACAAAGUCUGAGACCAAAGGAACACACAAAAUCAGACAAAUUUUUAUAAAACUUGGUUGAGCUUUAUUUCCGACACAGCAGCAAAAAAAAUAUAUGGUUGUAGCCGACCAACAACUCAAGGGGACAUAUGUAAAUAUACCGUACUUUUAUUUGAAUGAGAAACAUUUGUGUGUACGGUAUUUGAAUGAUACUGGGACUGCGCUUGAGAGGUGGGAAGGAAGGAGUUUUCCUUUUUGAUUAUGUUUAUUAUGAGAUGAUUUUUAAAUACCUUUAAAAAAAUACCCAACAACCCUAGUUGCUCAAAGAUACACAGGCUUUAAAAAAACCCAACCAACUAGCUAAAAGUCAUUAUUUUAAAUUUGCUGCCUAUGAAAUGAAUUUCAGGAAAUCCAUUAAGCCCUCCUUAGGCUCUAGCUAGGAUUGCCAGAGCACUGAAUUCUUUAAAAGCAGCUAAGAAAACAUACCUGGCUAAGAACAUUUCCCAUCCUUUUCAGGGAAGGGAACUAUUCUGAAACUCUGUCUGAUGUCUUAUUAUUAUUAUUAUUGUUAAAAAAGCCUUUUGAAUAGGAGGUUAGCUCCAGACUAAGGGAACUGAGCUUUAUGGGACAAGUUAGUCAGAAUUAAUUCCCUCCCCUGCCCCGUUGUCAGUGAAAAUGUGUAAUCCUAACCAAGCUGUCUCAGAAUAAAAUUCUGUUGAGUUCAACCCUGGGUAAAUGGAGUUAGGACUGCUGACUUUGAAUAAAAACAUUAAAAACAGAUUUAACGAGCACAUGACUUCCCCCAAAGAAUCAUGGGAACUGUAGUUUUUUAAGGUUGCUGGAAAUGGUACAUCUGUGCAGAGGAAAUUAUGGUAAAUGUGUGCUGAGUAUGCUUUAAAUGUAUAAUGUGGACUCACAGCUAGUGCAGCUAACUCAGACUAGAUCUAUCCCAUUGUAUUCUCUAAACAUCACAUCACUGAUGAUCUCAAAUCACUCUGCACAUUGUAUGGAGCUGGUCACACACACACACAAAUUGUUACGUUAUUUGUCCAGAAGCAGUCAGGGGCUCUGAGGAGGAUGUCAGCCAUUUUAAGAGGUUGAUGUUGGAAGAGGCUUUGCCUGAACAGCUGAGCCCAGUCUGAACAUUUUUUUAAAACAGAGGUUUCUUUCCCUUUAUAGCUGAGAGGACAAUCCAGUGCUCUUAAAAUCAAUACAUGUUUUGUAAAUUACUAUAUUAGGACGAGGACUCAGGCCUGAGUUCAAGGCAGUAUCUAGCUUUACAUAAGCAAGCAGCACUGUAUACCCAUCUAGGGAUAAUUCAGUGGGCUAUUCCUUUUCUUCAGCUUUACCAACCUCGGGUACCGAAAGGUCUUCUGCUCUCUUAAUUAUCCUGCUUUGUUUUCCAUUGAUUAUCUGUUCUCUCCUGCUGCCCACAGGCUUGGAACAACACAUAAACAAACAAACAAAUCUCCAGAAUCUGCAGGAAUCACACCGGUGGGGAAUGUGCUGGUGAAACACCCAGGAUUCAGCUCUGACAGGUGGGUGGAACUGCCUUGAUGGGAAGGAUGACCUGAUGUCAUCAUGAUGCCAGAUGAUUGAUAGAUAGAUGGCUGGUUUUUUAUAUUUUAUAUUUAAAGUUUUAUUGAUUUUUUUUUAUAUAGAAAAAGAAAGAAAGAAAACAAAGAAUAAAAAAUAUAAACCAUAAAGCAUCAAAGCCUAUAAGGACAAAAGUACAAAGAUACAGCACAGCUCCAAAGGGGCAAUAGAAGUAUUAACUCAUACAAAUAUUCCUUUUACAAAUAAUACAGAUAUGUAAAAACAGAAGUAUUAUCUAUCUGUGAGUUCCAUCAUCACUGAGAGCAAAGAUUCUACAAAGUCUUAGCUGAGCCAAAGGUUUGUGUAACCUGGUGCCACUAAGCAACCACAUGCCUCAAUAUUCAUAUGAGAAAUAAAACCAUGCCAUGCAUUAAAAAAGGUCAUUUAAGCUCUAACCUUUACAUACUUUUAGUUUAUGAGCUAUCUUUUCAAGGAGGGCAAUUCACCGAGCCCUGGAGACUAAGUAAUCCAAAUUAUUAAGGUGGAAGGUUUUCCAGGAUUUGGCAACGGAGCCCUGGGCUGCUGCUAAGAGAUGAGAUAUAGGUUCUUUGUUUUUCACAUCCCAUUCUGUUUCUAUAUACAGUGGUACCUCGGGUUAAGUACUUAAUUUGUUCCGGAGGUCCGUUCGUAACCUGAAACUGUUCUUAAUCUGAAGCACCACUUUAGCUAAUGGGGCCUCCUGCCGCCGCCGCGCUGCCAAAGCACGAUUUCUGUUCUCAUCCUGAAGCAAAGUUCUUAACCUGAAGCACUAUUUCUGGGUUAGCGGAGUCUGUAACCUGAAGCGUAUAUAACCUGAAGCGUAUGUAACCCGAAGUACCACUGUACUGGUUCAAAUGUGUCUGGUGGAAACGUGGAGUAAGAGUUUCUUUCUCGAGCAAAGGGAUCUCAGUGAACACCUUAUUCCAAAAUUCAGCCGCCUUUGAGCAGUCCCACCACAUAUGUUUAUAUAUACCCACUCCGUGGCAGCCCUGUAACACAGUGAAUGUUAUACCUGGAUAUUAUAAAGGAGAGCUCUUGCAGAGCAAGGUACUAGCUAUGUACUAACUUUAGUGAGAAAGCUCAAGCUGAACACUUGUCAAAGUUGUUCUGCAGGGACAGGGAGGACAGACAAAGAUUUGGCCCACCAGGCAGAAAUGUUAUUGGUAGCCUUAUACACCAAGUACACCGUUUCUAUACCAGUGGAAUAGCUACUGUACCUUACACACAGUCAACUCAGAAGGGGGAAAUGAACAAAUAAAAGAAACAAAAAUGUUGUAAACAUAGCAUACAUGCCCACGGCAUCCCUAGAAACAUCACCAAAGCCCACCAGUUGGGCACUGGGCCAGUGAUGAUGGCCACAUGCUCCACACAUAUAGGAAGACAAUGACAUGAUGAUGACGGGAACACACCCCUUCAUCACCACACACACACACAGCACAAGAUGACAUCAUGGGACCCCGCCCCAGCUGCCCCAGUGAUCCUGUCACUUACUGCUGCCACCAGUCCCUACGGAUUGACAUUCGAAGCCUGUCAGGCUGCCAUAGUUUGGUAGGAUAACACACUAUGGAAAGGGAGUCUGUAGAACACAGCACCUGCAUAACCCCUUGGGAAGGACAUAUCCCCCUAUUCCCCUCUCCCCAGGGGAUACAUCUUGUAUAUAUAUUUUUAUUGUAUAAGAUACGAAAAAUCCAUGCAAGAAUAGUGGCUUAGUGGUUGCAAAAUUGGUACCAAGAGUGCCUAUACAGUGAUACCUUGGUUCUCAAACACCUUGGUACUCAAACAACUUGGAACCCAAACACUGCAAACCUAGAAGUAAGUGUUCCGGCCUGUGAGCUUUUCUCGGAAGCCGAAUAUGCUCCGUUUUGAGUGUUACGCUUCUGAUUUGAGUGCCACACUUCUGCUUUGAGUGUUACACUAAGGUCUGUCUGCUUUUGCUAUUUAUUUUGCGUUUUUGUGGCUCUUUUUUUGUUUUUGUGACUUUGUGGAACCCAAUUCAGCUACUGAUUGAUUGAUUGUGUGACUGCAGUACAUUGUUUAUUGCUUUCAUUUUGUGGAUCGAUGGUCUUGUUAGAUAGUAAAAUUCAUGUCAAAUUGCUGUUUUAGAGGUUGUUUUUAAAAGUCUGGAACGGAUGGAUCCAUUUUGCAUUACUUUCUAUGGGAAAGCGCACCUUGGUUUUGGAACGCUUUGGUUUUGGAAUGGACUUUCGGAACGGAUUAAGUUUGAGAACCAAGAUACCACUGUAUUAGGCACUGCUCUUUCAGAAUGACUAUGCACAUUUGGUUAUCAUGACUCAGUGCAACACCUGAGUUUGUAAGGUCUUUUGUUAAUUGAUAGGGAGGUAACUGGCAUGGUUAGCCACAUAUAAUAGCCAUAUCUGGUAUUAUUCAUAUUUGCAGAUUGGGCACAAUUAUCAGAAUAAUGCAACUACCUGUGCUGAUUAGUACCACUUGUAAAUAAUAAACCAAGUUAUGUGAGCAGUGGGUCUUUAUUUGAUCUUCUUUUCAACUACAUUAAAAUUCAUAGCUUUGUAAGGAACCAGUAAUAAUUUUGUUUUGCGCUAUAUUCAUUACAGUGCAGCUCUCUGCAUCACUUAGGCAAACUACUGAAUGAAUGAAGGAUUAUGAGCUUGGGAGAUACAGCAUGCUUAAGGACAUGCGGUAAACACAUGCAGAGCUCAAAUUUGAACCCAAGACUUACUGGCUAAUGGCUUAUGUUCUUAACCUCUUAUACUGAUUUUUUAUUAUCAUUCCAGGCUCCUAACAAGUUUCCAGUGGUGGUUGGCAAAAGUGGUUAGAAUUAGAUCACAAAGACAAAAUUUAAAAGAAAAUCCAACUAGCUUGUUUCUGGUAAGUCUUGAUUUGCUUGUGUGAGGUUGGAAUAGUUCAGGUCACUGGAGAACUUCAUCUAAUUUGAUAUAGAAUAUAUGUCAGAAAAUUAGUUAUUAAAUAUUAGUGGUUUCUUCUUUCGUGUUCAGCCAGUUUUUAUCUGCUGCACCCAUCUCUAUUUUUAAAUUGGUUUUUGAUGUGUAAUUAUGUUAAUUGCCAAAGCAAAAUGGUUAUACCCAACCUAUCUGCAGUCAAACUACCUCCCAAACCAUGGUGUUGGCUGGCUUAAUAGGCAGUUUAAAUAAUGUCAAAUUGCAGGAGUUUAUUAAGCUGCUGUGAUAAUGUACGCAAAGCGCUUUGAACAUUUAAAAGGUGCUAUAUAAAUGCUAAGGGCUAAUAGCAUUUAUUCCCAUGAAAUAGUAAUGACUUCUUGAAAACGAAAGGAUGAUUUAUUCAAUUUAUACUCUGCAAAUGAGUAAUGGGGGCUGAUGAAUAUGAUAAUGAGGAAUAGAUCGGUUUCAAAUCCCUCUGGGAUUUGGGUCCAUCUUCAAGCGCCGUAGGACACUAACCCCAGUCCUUAGCUGUAGAGGCCCAGAGAUGACACAAUGGUUAAUACAUGCUCUGAGCUCGCAUAUUCCCUAUAACCAAUGCUGAAAGUGUGUGUGUGUGUGUGUGUGUGUGUGUGUGUGUGUGUGUGUGUUAGUUAACCAGCCUGACAGGGCCCUGGAUGCUAUUAUUUUCCUGAUUCUCUCCAAACCAUCUUAAUAGCAAACCAAUUGACACCCUUUCAUUUCCGGUUCUCUUAUUAGUUUCCCUGCCUCUCCCUUUCAUGCCAUUUCCCUUCCCCAAUGCAGUUUUUCUGGUGAGGUCAGGUGAUGGAGGCAUCCCCUGCUGUUUCUGCCCAUUUCCACUGCCUGUGAAUUAGCUCUUGUGGAGGCAGCAUUUCCUGUCAGUGAGUGACAAGAGGUGCUGUAUCUGACAAGAUGAAUUCAUUCUCUCUUUCUCAGUCCCUCUCUCCUUUCUUCUCUUCCUUUCUCGACCAGCCUCUCUCUACCUCUCCUUUGUUUUUAAUUGCUUUAGUCCUCUCCCUCUUUUCUCCUUAUAAUCUCUCUUCAUUUCUCUCUCUCUCUCUCUCUCUCCCCCCCCCUUUCUAUUAUCUCUCCUGCCCUCCUUUGUAUUCUUUCAUUCCCAGCAGGGCUCAUGCAUACAAAUUGACCCCCUCCCAGCCAGUAAUGUGACCAAAGCUCUUUGUGGCUCCUACAAUCUCUAUGGUAACUGUUCAGGGGUGGUGGUGGUGUGGGGCGGGGAGUGUCUCAAGAGUGGCGGUGUAGACCCAGCACUUAGGCCCAGAUAUUUUUGUUCCUCCUCACAUUGCAGAGCAUCCAUACGGAUCACCUGGCCACUCUUUAAAAAAACCAGCUGUUCUGUUUUUCACUCUUUGUGUCAAUACCUUUAAGGAACACUAAUGGUAGAAAACCCCCCACAAGGUUUAGGGGAGGGGUGGUGAUGUGCAAAUCUUUUCCCCCAGAUAGAAGAUAUGUUGCCUUCAGAAUUGUGUUCCACUGGACAGAGCUUUUUUUAAAAAAAACAUUAUAUCGAAUAGGUACCAUCCGUCUAUGGACAUUUAUUAUCAUCCUAGAGAGAGUGGCUGCAUUCAAAGGACAACAUGUGUUUAUAUUUCGGCAACAAGCAGCAGCAACAGCGAGUCUAAAUUGCUCAGAGUCUAAAUUGCUUGUGGGGGGAUUAAGUCUUUAAGAGGUUUGGAUGCCUUUUCAUCAGAAAUGUGGUUUGAGUUAUAGUUUUUAAAAUACCUGUGAAUCAGUUCUACCUCGGCACUUGAAGCUGCUCUCACUGCUGCUUUAAUCUUCCUGGCUGCUGCUUAUAAGUGAUCAGUUUCCUUACAAUAAGUAAAUAAAUAGAUGCAUAACCUGCUAAACAUUGCCUGUACCUUCCUAGUAAGCCAUGCUGUGCCAAUGGGCUGUUUCCAAGAGACAACUCUGUGGGUGAAGAGACUGAAAACAUGGCUUUGAAAAAUAAUAGUUUUUUUGCAUUCUUAAGAUCAUGUUGUACAGGUUAAUUAAUCCUUGAACAGCCUGUCAUCCUGACACAACCAGGGUGGUUAAUAUGUCCCCCGCAAUCCUUACAGUACAUGCAUGAGGGUGCAGAGAGGAUAAUAAUCUGCUUUAGCAAUCCUGUGUAUGAAACCACAGGACUGCCAUUUCCCCCCAAAUUAAUUGUUAUAAAGAGGAAGGUGGAGACCUUGUGUAUAUGACAAUUAGAUUUCAUUUGGAGCAUUAAUUUCCAUAACCAGUGACUAAAGUGAAGUGGACACACCGUGAAUUUGACAGAGGUGGAUUUCAAAUAUCACUUACCUCUUAACCCGGCUCAAAGGGUUGUAUUCAGAGUCUAUCCACUGAACUUAAUGAGCCUCUUAGUAAUGCCCAUUAACUUCAGUAGGUCUACUCUGAGUAAGGACUAGCAUUGAGCACCACCCAACCAAAGCACAUGCGGGAAGUACGCCAUCAUUUUAGGAUUCAUGCCCAUCACGCAUCCCUUCUGACCGAAAAUGUGGAAAAGUAUUUUAUAGUUUAACUCUGGGCAGAUUCUGCAUUUCCCCCCUUUUCUGUGUUUGUUUUAUUCAUCCCAGGUUGGCUCUUACCAUUUAAUACCAGAUAUCACUGUAAGAAACAUAAUAUUUAUUAGGCAAUUAAAGUUUAUUGCCUCCACCACUGCUGGGGGGGGAAUCUAUUAGUAAAUCCACAAAAUCUUUCACUGCCCUGUCACAUACCACAAACCACAUGACAUUCAGCACUUGGUGAUUUUAUACUGAUCUUUAAUUAAGGACAUUAAUAAACACCAGUACUGCUAAAAUAAUCUAUAGAUAAUGGGAAUGUUUAAUGAGCCACAUUGUCCUAAUAUGCAGGCAGUUUCUGGCAGGAGAGUCAGCAGUGAAAUAGUUAACAUUGUGGGCAUUUAAGUGGUCAUAAUUAACAGUCUAUUAACAUGAAUAGGGGAAGUUCUCACUUUGGACAGCUAUUGUUUCACUCUCUCUGUUUACAGACUCCACUAGACAACAGUGCAUAGCUUUGCCUUUGUGUGUGUGGAUUGUUUAAAAAGGAAUCAGGAGAAACAGACAUUUCAUCUUAAAAUUAAAACCAAACCUAGAAGGCUGUACAUAGCAAAAUUAUCAGUGUUGUUGCUUCUUUUAUUUUCUUACAUUUGUACCCCACUUUUCUUCCAUCAUAGGACCCCAAGACAGCAUACAUGUGGCCCCAGAGAAGUCCCCUCCAAUCAAUGCUGGCGUAGACCAGACCUAGACCUGCUUAGGCUCAGUAAGGUGACAGCCUCCUUUAUUUUCAAGCCAUGCCCUGUGUCCCAUAACACUUUGUGUAGGAAGCCUCAUUCAGAUCAGGGGUCAGCAAACUUUUUCAGCAAAGGGCCCGUCCACUGUCCCUCAGACCUUGUGGGGGGGCCGGACUAUAUUUCUUUUUUUGGGAGGGAAAUGAACGAAUUCCUAUGCCCCACAAUUAACCCAGAGAUGCAUUUUAAAUAAAAGGACACAUUCUACUCAUGUAAAAACACGCUGAUUCCCGGACCAUCCGUGGACUGGAUUUAGAAGGCGAUUAGGCCAGAUCUGGCCCCCGGGCCUUAGUUUGCCUCCCCAUGGAUCAGAUCCAUCUAGCCUAGUGUUUCCAUCUCCGAUUGGCAGCAGCUCUCCAGCAGGAGGUUUUCUUCCUAGCUUAGAAUCAUAGAAUCAUAAAAUUGUAGAGUUCGAAGAGACCCUGAGGGUCAUCUAUACCAAUUUCCGGUAAUGCAGGAAUCUCAAUUAAAGCAUCCACAAGAGAUGGCCAUCCAACCUCUGCUUUAAAACCUCCAAUGAAACCACAACCUCCCGAGGAAGUCCGUUCCACUGUUGAACAGUUCUUACUUUCAGAAAGUUCUUCCUGAUUGGUCGGAAUCUCCUUCCUUGUAACUUGAAUCCAUUGGUUUGAGUACUACCCUCUGGAGCAGGAGAAAACAAGCUUGCUCCAUCUUCCAUUGAUGUGACAGCCCUUGAGAUAUUUGAAGUUGACUGUCACAUCUCCUCUCAGUCUUCUCUUGUCCAGACUAAACAUACCCAACUCCCUCUCUAGCAUUCCUCAUGAGGCCCUGGUUUCCAGACUCCUUGAUCGUCUUGGUUGCCCUCCUCUGCAUUUGCUAUUUAAAUGGAGAUGCCAAGAAUCGAACCCAGGAACUUCUGCAUGUAAAGCACAUUCCUUACCACUGAGCUGUGGUCAGCCCCACAAACAGACAAUAAUUCUCAAACUGCAGCAUGAUACUGUGCCUCAGGAAGAGCUCCUUGUGUCCCAUAAGCCAAGUUGUCACAUCUGUCCACUGGGUAUGUGCAGCAGUGGCAGAGGAAGCCUCUCGGGCACCUGGGGUGGCAUGCCCAGGGGCGGGGCGAACCGCCCAUAGGGCAGCAUACCCUGUGCCUUCCCUAUGGGUGCCGCGCGCCCCGUCCCUAUGGGCACCACGCGCCCUGCCACAUAGGCUGCGUGGCACCCAUAGGGAAGUCAUGGGCUGUGGUGUGCGGCGCCCAUAGGGACGGAGCGCGCCACGGGGCCUUAGCCCCCCUACAGCUGGGAGGAGGCAGCAGGUAGACAGCGUGGAGCCUGCGGGCGCCGAAACACGUGGCGCUUGCACGCUGCAGGCCCCGCAGCAAGUGCCUCCCGCCAUUUUGUCACCCCCCCCAUCAGGGUGGCACCCGGGGUGCACUGCACCCCCCUUCCUACACCCCUGAUGUGCAGGAAUGUUUAGGGCAAGGCUAGCACACGCAGCAUCACCUCCUCUACAUGUUUUGCGAAUCUCUUCAGCAAUAAGGCAUGAAUGGGGCUGUUGAGGCAAGGCGACCACUCAUUUCUAAAUCAGGUGGUGCACAGGCUCAGGAAAAGGUCAUACAGAACCUUUCUUGCGUCUUUACAUUAAAAAGAAGUCUUAAUGAAUUGCUUCAUAUGAAAAAGGGUGGUGUCUUUUUCUCUUCCUCUCUAUUUUAAAACAAGCCUUUGACAUGUUACAAGCAGAGCGGCCGGCAUUUCUCCAUGAUGCAAGGCUGGUGUAAAAUCUUAUUGGCAAAACAAAAAGUCUAGCAAGUCCUGGGAAAAUGCAGGUGGGUAGAAAAGGUGCUCAGCUGAAACAAAAAAGGUGUGUGUGUUGUUUCUCUCUCCUGUGGAGAUCGGAGAGCAAGCAUGGCUCCUGUGCACCUCCAACUUAGAGCAGGAAUUAGGAACUCUUUACUAUCCAAGCAUAUAUUUCCUAUAACACGCUUCGGUCAUCAUUGUGAUUGCUUUAGGACUAGAGAGUGCUCAUACAGCAAAUAUUCAGAUUACAGCCCUCUUCCAAGCCAGUCUGCUAACUCUGCAGAGUUAAUCAGCACAGUUGACCACCCUAGCUGCAUUCAACAGGGAGAGCAUACCAUCCUGAGACAAGCCCCUUCUCACCUUCCAGCCCCCUCUCUUGCUUCUUUGCUCCCUCCCUGUCAGACUGCUGCUUGAUUCCAGCAGCCCCUUUCUGUGGCUCGUCCCCUGCUGAGCACAACAUGUGUAAUAUAGCAUAUCUGCAUCCUGAAAAUUUUGAGAAAAAUGCAAUAACUUCCCUCUCUAAUAUAUUUGGCCUAAAUUAUUAUUCUGAUUUUCAUUUUCAUUUUAUUAAUUGAGUCUCUGCUCAAAGUACCCAGAGCAGCAUGCAUUAUAAAAUGCAGAUAAUAAUAUAAUGAAAUAAUGAUAGAAUGAAUGAAAACAUGAAUCUAGCUAAAAUCUGCAGUAGAACUCCAAAUGUAAACCCAUUUACGCCCCCUGCCCAGCAGUACACAGAUACAGUAUAAGCUAUUAUUAUUAUUAUUAUUAUUAGGAGAUAAGCUAUAGUAGAGACAGUGCUUGUCUGUCUGCCUAGGCUGAUAAUCUAAAGGGACCUGAGAUGCUGCUUGUCUUGGGAUGUUGUUGCACUGCCUGUUUGUUGAGGGCACAGGCUCUCCCUGGGUGGCAUGCUGUCAGAGCAAGGGUCUUGCCCUCUAGCUAACCUGGCCAGCAGUCAAGGGAGCUUGCCAGGAAGACAAACAGAAUGUUAGAGAUAAUUAAGAAAGGAACAGAAUACAAUACAAUACAGGGAAUCAGUGGUGCAUGCACACUUUUUGCACUAUGCGUUAUCCUGGUCUGCUCAGAACAAUUAGCCAGUCCUUGUUAAGUAAAUUAUUCCUGGUCAUAAGGACGCCAUUGCAUAUCCCGGAUUAUUUAUUCUGGCUUUCUAUGAUCCCUUCCGCUUGUUCUAUAUUAGUCUGAAGGCAGCAGACUCUGACCUUGAUCCAGCGCCAUAGAUCACCUGGAUCUUUCUGGGAAGUUGAGUCCCUGGUUAAGUCUAGGUCUCUAGAGAAUGCAGAUGUGGCUUUCAUUUCGGAAUGUCUCCCUUGCCAACAUUGCUCACUAACAGCUAUGUGAAAGCAGCAAUUCAAUAGGAGCUUGAAGUUUUGGCAACGGGAAACUGCACCUGCUGAAUGUUUGCCUGGCAUCAGACUGAUAAAAGGACAGUAAACAUCCUGAGGUGGAGAGUAGCAACCUUAGCUUAGUUCUGAAAAACUGUGACUCCUUGGUGUAUUUUUCUAUCAAGCCUAAAAUUCCAUGUUGGGCAUUGGGAUAUACCAGGACAUUUCUUCUCAGUACCUGCAAACUGGCUGGGAAGUGCCUCUGAACAUGUGUAAGGUGCUUUUUGUUUACUGCUGGGAGAUUGCAAACUCCUUGGGGCAGGGAUUGUUCCCUCAUGAGUUGAAUUCACUUUAUAAAUAGGAAUAAUGCAGCUUUGUCCCACACACCAGAAGUUAAAAGCCACAGGGCUUAGUUCAGAAUAUACUGUUUCCAUACAGGCUUCAGCCCCAGCAUUUCUCUUCUUCCAAACUAACAUUGCCCUCUUGUAUUUGAUUAAAAUCCCUCCAAGGUAUAAGGAACUUGCACAGGUGGCAGAACAGUCCUGAGAAUCUGCUGCUCAAGUGUUAAAAUAUACCUCUGGUUUGCCAGCCUCCCAGGCUGGUAUUGGUUGAGUUGACCUUGCCCAACCCCUUAAGUCCUAGGGCUCCCCUAUGGAAAAAGUGAAUCUUAUCCUAUACCAUCCUUCUCUUUGUUCUUACCGACCUGCUCUUUUUGGGGUUUUGUUUUAUAUAUUCCACUGAUACAUACAAGUGGAGCCUGCAACUAUAUGUUGCAGUGUGGCCUCCUCCUGCUCAUCAUAUUAGUCAGCCCUUUCCUGGAUGACUCCAUUCCAUUACCCUUCCCCUCCGGCUUACUGCUCCACCCCACUCAGUCAGCAUUUUGUGGUUACAGAGUGUGCUUGACCUUCAUUGUUCUGCCUUGGGUCCCCCCCACACCAUUGCCUUAGAGCAGUGGUGUCCAAACUUUUUUUUAAAGAAGGCCAGAUUUGAUGAAGUGAAGGGCCGUGAGGGCCAACUGGAAGGCCAACCAAAGUUGUUGACCUUUGAAGGACUGAAGUUGUUAAGCUUUUGUAUGAUUUUACCCCGAACUUGUUGAGCUUUUUUUGGGAGGGAUUAAAGUUGUUGAACUUUAUUUUAGGGCUACAGUUGUUGAGGUUUUUUUUAGGAUUUUACCCCAGGAAAUAAAUUGCCACAGCGGCCGGAUUAAACCAACUGGCCAGAUUAGGCCCCCGAGAUGGACUUUGGACAUUCCUGCCUUAGAGUCACCCCCAAAAUAUUUUGGUACACCUGCAAACCUUGAGGAUCCCCCAAAGCCUGCUGGUAUGUCCCUCAUGUGGGUGGGCAUUGCUAUUUUGGCUGCAAAGGAUUCACCCAUGAAGAGCGGACUAUACUGGAGGUUUUCAGUCUUUUUGAGUCAGCUCAGUUGGUUGGAGCAUAGUUGGUUAGAGCGUAGUGCGUUAACCUGUUUCCCCAAAGGCAACAGGUAAGGUUGUGGGUUCGAUCCCCAUCUGGGACAGCUGCAUUUUCCUGCAUUGCGGGGGCUUUGACUAGAUGAUCCUCAGGUUCCCUCCCAACCCCACAAUUCUAUGAUUCCACUGCUCCCUUGACCAGCUACAUUCUUUCUGCGGCUUCCCUGUGGACAGUCUCCAGCACUUCCUUAUACCUGUUUAGUCAAAUAUAUUCAACUGAGUUGCAUGGGGCUUGCUCUUACUAUGCACUGGACUGCAGGUUUUUUUUUGCUUUUUUUUAAAGUCAAUCAUAUUGAAGCAAUAAAUAAAUAAUUUUUCCAAUUAACAGGUUUCUGGCUCAUCCCAGAUAACACUUCAAAUGCAUUGAAAUCCCUAUUUCUCUGCCAGCUUAACCUGUUUCCCCAAAGGCAACCCAUACAGGUAAGUUUUACAGUGCUUCUAAAAGAUGCUCUGGCUUAGAUUUUGGAGAGGCAUCAUAUGAAGGGAAACCCUAAGCUGGAGUCUCCCAUGCAGAAUUCCUCUCUCUCAGAGGUGGUGUCUGUUAGUUGGGCAUCAUUUUUUUAUCAAUGUAGUGCAUCUGUUCCGCUCUGUGUUGUUCAUCUGUCUGUUCCUCCAAUCUCUUUGGCCUGAUCCCAUGCCAAGCAGUUCAGGCAGAAGGCUAUGGCAAUGUGAAUGAUUAUUUAAUGUAUUUUGGGGUGUUUCUUACGUGAACUGUGUGUUGAUUUACAUGGAUCCGUUACACUAAUAUGAACUGCAGCUUGCUCUCCAGACUGUGCAGGAUAAUUAACUCUUAUGCCCGUGAAAUGCAUUCCCCUUUAGGUUAAUAUUUUACAGUUGAAUAAAAAGGGGUUUCUGACCUCUUCAUUUAGAUGAGAUGAGGACAUGGCCAUCGUUUAUGAAAUAGGCAGAUCAUAAUGUGAGAUUUAUUGGGACAGCUGCAGCUUCUGCAGUCCAUUUGAGACAUGCAGAGAGUAUGUUACUUUCCCUUCCGUAGUACAAAUGGAUACUUCCAGGGCUCCUUUAUGGCAGAGAUGUCUGCAAUUUGAUGUUGUGUUAUGGAAUAUAAGAUGCUGCCUUAUGGCAAUUCAGACCAUUGGUCCUGCCUAGCUCAGUAUUGUAUACAGUAUACUGACUGGCAGUGGCUGUCCUGCCAGAUUUUAGACAAGUGUCUCUUCUGAACCAAUGUAGAGAUGCUGAGGGUUGAACCUGGGACUUCUUGCAUACAGUGGUACCUCGGGUUAAGUACUUAAUUCGUUCCGGAGGUCCGUUCUUAACCUGAAACUGUUCUUAACCUGAAGCACCACUUUAGCUAAUGGGGCCUCCUGCUGCCGCCACGCCGCCGGAGCACAAUUUCUGUUCUCAUCCUGAAGCAAAGUUCUUAACCCAAGGUACUAUUUCUGGGUUAGCGGAGUCUGUAACCUGAAGUGUGUGUAACCUGAAGCGUAUGUAACCUGAAGUGUAUGUAACCCGAGGUACCACUGUACAAGCUAUGUGCUCUAAGAAAAGCCCUGCUCUUGUAAUGUGAGGGUGGAUCUGAGGUUUGUUCUACUGAAAGAGAGGAAGUAAAUAUUAUUUAGGACACAGAAAAUAACCAAAGGAAUUAUGAUGUUCUGCAACCCUUACAACUUCAGAUAUCAAUCCUGGUGCGGGGAACGUACAAAUUGAUGUUAGCAGGGGCGAUCCGAGGCUUUUCGCUACCUGAAGUGAAAUAUCCCUCUGCCACCCCCACAAUGAGUGGGGAGACUACAUAGGACUCCCUCCCCCCCCAGAAGCCCGUAUGGAGUCUCUCCUCUGCCAGGGAGAGAAACCCUGCCACACCGCCCAGUGGUGGUAGGAAAAUCUUUUCCAGAUCCCCAGCCCCUCGUCUGGCAUGGGCGUGGCCAAGGGGGGGCAGGGACAGGCAGCUGCCCCCCAAUAAUUUUUUUUAAAAAAAUAUAUAGCAAACUGAAGUUCUGUCCCCCCUGCAAAAGAAAUAUUUGAAGGCCUCUUUCCGUGUAGUGUUUGGAAAGAAACACAUAAAUGCAUAUCCUCCUAUUCAAAUUUACAUGCAGAGGCCAAAAAAACCAAAGUCUUGUGAAUGACAUUCUGUCACAGAACUGGGCUCUCCCCUCACCCCCACAAAAAGACACUGGAUGUUGCUGUGACAACCUUUUUCCUUCUCUCUAACAGAUUAUGGUCAUUGUUUUGCAUCAAAUGAGUAUUUGCAUAACAGAAAUCUGUCUUUAAUUACCUCUAAAACAGCUUCAGAAGGGUUUUUGUUGAGAAUUUGGGUGUGUAUGUGUGUGUGUUUUACUUUUAAAAUUUAUUCUGCAUGAAAUUAUCUUUUUUUGGAACAUUGUAGAACAUGGCACGAUCCUCUGGGGAAUGAAUGACUGACAGAAGCCAUACUGUUGCUUUUGUGGAUAAUGCCAGUUACAUUACAGGCAAGAUGGCUGUCUCCAGGAAGUGGCUCUGAGUGAGAGAAGUGUGUCUGCUGCCUGUCUGGUUUCACACAAAAGUCUAGUGUGAUUUCUAUGUAGCAAUGUGCUUUAACUCUUCUGUGCUGCUUUUUUUACACACCAAUGGAAUCAUUCCCUGGAGAAUAAUUUCUUAUCCACUGAGUAAUACUGGUCCAGAAAUUAUUCUCUUAAUAACAGACUUGUGUGUCUUCUAUUGCAAAUGCUGAAUAUUUGUUUGCUUUUUCCAGAGCUGCCGAAGGCUCAAAACUCAUUAGUCACUACAAAAACCGAGAGAUGGGAGGUUUUGAAAGCUGAGUUUUUAUACUGUAGUCCUAUGAUUCUUCAGAAGUAACUCCCACCAUGUUCAAUAAAGCUUACUCCCAGUACGUCUUACUUAAGUAUGUAUGGGACUGCAACCUAUAUGUAACUACUCAGAAGUAAGGCCCAGUGAGGUCAGUGGGGUUAGUUUCUCCCAUGAAAGUGUAUAUAGAACCACAGCCAAGCAGUGUGAAAUUCUUGGGGUUCUAGGUGCUUACCCAGGGUUUGUGUUUCCUUCAGAAAUUAGGCACAGCAGAGACUGUGGUGUCUUUAUAAUAUAUGGCUUUAUUUACACACAUAUACAACCUGCACCUAGAUGGAGGGAUUGCAGAACAUUCACACAUCAUAUGAGGAUCUGGCUUCGCCCUUAAGGGAAGCAAAAAACUAUCCUCUGCGACUCUUAGUUUCACCUGUCAUCCCCAUCUCACAUGGAGUUCUUCCCCAAACGACUCCAAGGGACCCCCCCCCAGCCUACAUCAUUCAAAGUUGAAACCCUAAACGUGGCCUUUGCUUCUUCCCACUAGCACCCCACUCCCCCUUGCUUGGCAAUCCUGGGCCAUUACUUUGCUUUGUUCCUUCAUGACUUACACUCAGACAGGCCUCUCUCUUCUUAGCAUAAGCUGAACCCAGGAAUUUCCAUGUUUGGCACAGUUGAAUCAAACCUUGAUUAAUUCUAACUUUUAUUGAUUCUAAUAAUUAUGGUGUGUCUGGCACCCAGGAAUUUAGGGGAAUCUGCCCCCUCCAAACCUAUAACAGUAUCUUACGCUUUCGGUUUCAUCCAUUUUCUUCUAGAGCAAAUUUGGAAACAUUCAUACACAGUGUCGAAACUGUACAUUAUUCUGUGACAGUGUGUAAUACAGACACACCAUUAGGUUUUAUAUAACUGGCAUUCAUAUGUAUUUGCUCACAAGCAAGUUCCACUGAGUCCAAUGGGAUUUACUCCCAGGUAAGUGUGCACGGGAUUGGAACCAAAACUAUGGCUGACACAUUGGGAGAGUCUGGAACCUACUUAUGAAUGAUCAUUCAUAGGAUUGGAUUCUGUGUGCAUUAAUUCCUGGUGCUAUUUACAUUUACAGUCAUACCUCAGGUUGAAUGCGCUUCGGGUUGAGCCCGUUUGAGUUGUGCUCCACGCCAACCCGGAAGUAACGGAGUGCGUUACUUCCAGGUUUUGCUGCUUGCGCAUGCGCAGACGCUCAAAAUGAUGUCACGCGCAGAAGCGUCGAAAAGCAGCGUGCGCGUGAGCAGACGUGCCAUCGCUAGUUAUGUUUGCUUCUGGAUGCGAACGGGGCUCCGGAACAGAUCCCGUUCAUAUCCAGUGGUACCACUGUACUCCACGAUUAUAUAAAUAAAAGCACCAUUGCUUAAAAUCAUAUGUAGUACAAGUUGCAGACCCGUAGGGAUAGGCAAACCUGUCCAUUUCCAUUUCUCUCAGAUUCUCAUUUUUCCAUCCUUAAAUUCAGUUCCACAGUUUCCCACAACAGUUUGCAUUGUUUUUUUUAAAAAAGUCUUCAUGAAAAUUCAUCAGCAUUUUAGUGUGAAUUUCUCCUAAUACACACAUUUUUUUCCAAAGUAAUUUAAUCUAUUAUGGUGCAUUCUUGUAAUUUUCACCAACAUAUGUAUUUUUAGACAUACUUAGCCCUCGUAUAUGUAAUUUUUGUACACAUUGUUUGGCUGGAGAACUGUACUGUAAAAUUAGGAGAGGUGCAAAUCACAAAGGAUGGCCGCAUUUCAGUUUUGUAUUUUGUAUCGUAUUGGAAAGUGCCAAAUAGGUAGGUUUGCCUUUAAAUGUAAAUGGAAUUGGAUUUCUUUCUCCGUCUCUAGAUACCACAGAGGUUCCAUGUGUAGGGAAAAGUGGGUUAUAAAAUGUACUAAAAGAAUAUGACAAGCAUCAGCAUGUGUAAUGACGAACGUUCUGGAAAACUGUUGGCAAAAUAUAUAAAGCCAUUCACAUUUAUUCUGCUUGCUUUCUCCUGCCCAUGCAGAAUUGCUUAUGAAGAGGCCUUCACUCUUGCAAAUUCUACUGAAUGUUUAUUGGGCACUGUUUAUAUAUGAAUGCUCUUGAAUGGAGGUGGAGCAGCAGUUCGGCUUGCCAAACCCUUCCCGCUUGAUCUCAUUGAUAAUGGAGCCGAGUGAAUAAUCUGGAAAUCAUUUAUGUCAAUAGCCUGUUUCUCUGCCUGUGCAGUAUUUGUCAUUACACCACAGUUUCCACAGAUUUAUUCAUUUUUUUCCUGUUGUCUUUAAAUUUAUUGGACUUUUAGGCCAUAAAUAUUUCAGAUGUAUGUUGUCUGAUUUACAGUCUGAUCCAAGUCAAUGGGGCUACAUUGGCCGAAAUCCAAGUUCUUUGGCUUAAUUGGGCCGCGAAUUGAACUGCCCAUUUUUAUUGGACAGGCUUGUCAAUUGGCACUCUCCGGUUUCAUGAUUGCAUGGAAACGUAAGAAGCGCAAGUACAUUUUGCAGUGUGCGUCUGUGUAUGUGUGUGUUUGUGGGGGAAAGAGAGAGAAUUUAAACUUUUAUGCCUCCAAAUAAAUUCUUUUGUAUUCCUUUCAUUGUCUCCUGAUCUUCUGAGAGUGAGAAUUAGCUGUCAACUUUCACUCGGUAUUUAAAUCAGUGUGUUUAUCUCCACAGACUUGUUUAUUUCCACUGGAGACAAAUUGAUGUCACAGCUGGUCUUGCUUGUUUGAAAACCCCUUGGUGCUGAGAGCUGCCGAAGCAAUUUUACCUGUUUCUAGAGCUUGUCAGGAAAUGGAAUACUUAUAGCCUUAGUAAUUUCCAAGCAGCUACCAAGUUUGGCUGCUGAAGGAAUCACAGGAAUCAUGCCCCAUCAUAAAGUUGCCCAUUCUUGCUGAAUCCUUAAACCUACCUUGCUUGUUUUGAAAAGGCUGCGUUGUUAGUCACAGAGAAGGGAGACUUGUCGUGUUUUAUGCUUGUGUUUCAUCCCCUCCUGGGGAUGAAACGAAUGACGUCUAAAGGCCACUGAAGCCAUGUCCACAUCAGAGGAAAUUUGAGAACCUCAUGCAGACUCUGCCAGAGCUGGACUAGAGUGGGAUGCGUCUUCAGAUGUAAUGCAGUUCUAACCCAUGAUGCAUUGUAACAUCUGAACCAACCUCAUCCUCCAACAAAUAAUGAUUUGCCAUCAGGCCAGGAUUUAAGACGAGGUUGAAAUCUUGUUUGCGAACCAUACUUUGGGCAAAAUCAUAGCUUGACAUUGCAUUUGAACUAAUCAAACUUUAUGAUCUGUGGAGCAGUUUAAGCCUUUCCUAUAGCUCUCCCUCUUCCUCCUAAAACGUAUGGACCAUGAGGACAGCAAGUAAAAGGUAAAGGUAAAGGGACCCCUGACCAUUAGGUCCAGUUGUGGCCGACUCUGGGGUUGCGGUGCUCAUCUCGCUUUAUUGGCCGAGGGAGCUGGCGUACAGCUUCCGGGUCAUGUGGCCAGCAUGACUAAGCCGCUUCUGGCGAACCAGAGCAGCGCACAGAAACACCAUUUACCUUCCCGCCGGAGCGGUACCUAUUUAUCUACUUGCACUUUGAUGUGCUUUCGAACUGCUAGGUGGGCAGAAGCUGGGACCGAGCAACGGGAGCUCACCCCGUCACGGGGAUUCAAAGCGCUGACCUUCUGAUUGGCAAGUCCUAGGCUCUGUGGUUUAACCCACAGCGCCACCCACGUCCCAGGACAGCAAGUAGUUGGCUGUACAGUGGUACCUCAGGUUACAUACGCUUCAGGUUACAUAUGCUUCAGGUUACAGACUCUGCUAACCCAGAAAUAGUGCUUCAGGUUAAAAACUUUGCUUCAGGAUGAGAACAGAAAUCAUGCUCUGGCCGUGCGGCGGCAGCAGGAGGCCCCAUUAGCUAAAGUGGUGCUUCAGGUUAAGAACAAUUUCAGGUUAAGUACGGACCUCCGGAACGAAUUAAGUACUUAACCUGAGGUACCACUGUAAUUCACAGGCUGAAGGAGCAAGCCUUUAUAGGAUGUAGCCUACCAGUGUCCUAAAGCUACUCGUUCCUUGUAAAAGGGAGCCAAUAGGCUGCUUCAGGGAUUAGCAAGUCUUCAUUCUCCUAGUUGAACCAUACACACAUUUAUGGCACCAGGCAACUAUGGGCUGAGUGAGAUCCAGCUGUUCAGCCCCACUCCCUUGCCUCUGAGCACCUUGGUGGGAGCUUGGUGGCAACAGCGAGCAAAGGAAGACUGGUCUCCAUCAUGGGAUGAGAGAAAUCCAGCUGUCCAGCUCCAUCCUUGGAGGACCUCAGGUGGAGCUGCUGACUGAUAUGACACUAGGAAAGGACAAGGGCAUAUAUGGAUCCUGUAAUUUCUGUUCCUGUGCUAGAUUUGAGUGUAGUUUUAUUUUGAGAAUCUUUUGUAAAUAGCUUUCACGGCUAGAAAGCAGAAUAACAGCAUCCUGUGGUGAGAUCUUUGCAUUUAAUACCUAAAUAGAUUUGGUGAGCACUUUUGAAGCUCAGUUGUAACCCCUACAACAUGGUAACCUUCUUUAUGACCCCCAAAUGGCCUUGUUUCUAGAGGCUGGUGUUAUGCCUAACUCCUCUUGCUUUUACAUCUGCUUUGAAGAGAAUAAACUUGUCACAUUUCCCCUGCCUUAGAGCACAGCUAUGUAGUGGACAAUGCAGCUGAUCGUGACUUUUCCCCCUCUGCCCUUUCCUCUUUUUCUACCCUGUGCCUCACUGAACUGUUUGGCAAGGAGUUUCCUGUGCACAUUUGCUUUGUGGCUGGCUAAACACAUGCAACUAUCACCGCAAACAAGAUGAAGUGUUGUGUUUGCUACUGGAAUCAUCUAAACUGUGUACACACUAUAUACCUUUAGAGCACACUCAAAGCACGUUCUUUCCCUCUAAGAAUUCUGGGUACUGUUAAGAGUUGCUGGGAAUUGCUAGUGCAGAGAGCGGAGGCUAGUCUGCUUGUGGGGGCAAACUACCACCAGCGUUGAACCCUCUGCUUGCAGGAUUUGCACUGGCUGCAGAUCUGCAACCAGGUCAAGUCAGUACUAGCCUAUAAAUCCCUAUACAGCCCAGGACCAGUUCACUCUGGUUUGUGGGAGAAUUUCUCUGGCAAGUUCCAAAAAUCUCAGAAGCCUGUGACUGCCUCUGUUCUGUGGAAUCACAUUCCUGUCAAGGUACAACAGGCAUCCAGAGGAUUGGCAGUUGAAAUCAAUGGAAUAUGCCAAAUUGGCAAGUUUAACAAGUAAAAUUAGAAAUCAAGUUGAGGCAAAAUUUAAGGAGAAUUGGAAAAUGUUUGUAGAUUAUUAAAAAAAAUUUGCAAGUAGCCUUAGAGUAAAAACAGCAGUAAAAUUUAAAUUUGAAAAUAUUGUGGAGAAGAUAAGUCAUAGAAUAACCAUAAUGUGCAGCAUUAUUUGGUAAAUUAGGGAAAUCAUGGAGGUAGGGGUAGUCUAAAGCCAAGUGAUUGUAAACUGGAAAAUGUUGUACCGUAAAUUCUUUUGAAAUAUAUAAAUAAUAUAUAUAUAUAUAUAUAUAUUUAAUGCAGCAGGCAUCCACUCUCUGUACUUUUCAGAAAUAACCAAUACAUUUUUGUUCCAACAGGCUUUCCCAGCUGGAUAAAUGUGUCUUUACCACAAGUCUCCACUUGUUAGAGUUUUUGUUUUGUUUUAAACGUAUUUGUUGCUUUUAAUUGUUUUAAAUUAACUUAUAUGUAAAUGUAAAUUUACAUGGUGAUGGUGGUUUACAAGGCAAUUAAUUAUUAUUAUUCUAUAUUUAUUUAUACCCUGAUGUUUCCCUUGACAGGAUUCAAGGCAACUUACAGAGAAAAAUCAGGCAUUAAAAUAUAAUUAGACAUUGACAGAAUUAAAAAUAUAAACAUGUAUAAAAUCUAUUUAAACCAUACCAAUAAUUACAAUAGGAACAUCAUGGCACCAUCCUAUUCAAUUCCCAAAGGCCUAUAGAACAAGAAAGACAGUAAAGAGAGAGCCAGUCUAGCUUUUUAGGGAGGGAGUUCCAAAGUCUAGGAGCAGCCACUGAGAAGGUCCUCAUCCAUGUCCCCACAUUACGUGCCUGUGAGGCUGGUGGGACUGAGAGAAGGGCCUCCCCCAAGGUUCGGAUGAGGGAAUACAGUCUUUCAGAUAGCUUGGACCUAAGCUGCGUAAUAAAUCAAUGAUAGCUUUUCUACUUUAUUAACAAAGUGGGGUUUGGUUUUUUUAAGUACAAAACUUUUUCAAGGUUUUGGAGAAGGUGUCUUAGCGACAUCACUGGUGCUGGCCAAUCAGUGCCAUGCUUCUGCUGUGAAAUUGAUGUUUCCUUCUCCCUGUUACCCCAAGGCUUAACCCUGGAGGAGAAUAAGUAUAUUUGAAGUGAAUUGUGUUGAGGCUGCCGUAUGGCUCUAUACAUGCUUCAUCCUUCUCCCAAAAUUUCUAGUUCUGGCUUGCUUCUGAAUAUGGCAUCAGCAUACAACUGGCUCCACACAUGGCAGCACAAACAUGACACACCUAAAAGCACAGUGACCACAUGCAAACAGGGUCAUUUGCUCAGGCUCUUGUUUCAACAGAAUGUGGUUGGGAUUGCAGUGUUUAGUAACACAUGCAUGGAUCUUUAAUCUUGGAUCUUUAAACCUUUCAGACAUUCUUAAGUGUUUAUGCACUAGUUAAGUAGAAUAAAUUCUACUGAUAUAUAUAGAAAGUUUAAUUUUAUUUGUCUCAACAAUAUAGGAGCAUUAACUGGACUUAUUGUGAGUAGCUAAACGUUAAUUUAGGAGAAGAAGAGAUCAUUAGCUCUACUUCAAGGAGGAACAUUACAGUUUAAUGAGAAUUAAUAAUUUUGCAGUGCAUAGGAGCAUAUUGCCUCAAGCAAGGCAUGUUGCAAGCACAGUAUUACAAAUAGCUAUUUAAAAUUAAUGCCCCGAUACUAUCACACAUUGCUAAAUUUUCCAUAAUGAUUUUAUGCUGUUCUUGUAGGUAAAAUGUAUACUCAGGUCACACUGGACAAUAACGAAUGCUUUUAAAACAUGGGCACUUAGAUCUUAAACACACUAAUUGAAAAUCCCAUUGAAAUCAAUGUGACUUACUUACAGGCAAUGUGGCUAGGUCUGAGGUUACUGUCAGUAAUCUAUAAAUUACAUGAGAGUCAGGCUAUUUGAUUUAAGUCUAUUUAGUUCCACUGAACGCUUGAAUUCCUUAGACCAGUCUUCCACCACCUGUGGUCUUCUAUAUGAUGUUGGACUACAUCUCCCAUCAUUCCUGGCCAUUGGCUAUGGUAGCUUGGACUAAUGUCAGCUGCGGUUCAAAACAUCUAGACGGCACCAGGUUAGAUCCUCCAUUGCUCCAUAAUCUUAACUUUGAUUCAUGCAUACACUCAGACCACUGGAGAUGACAGUAAAGGGGCCAUGGAGCUGUCCUGGGCAUUUCUUAUUACUCAUCUCCAAGUCAAAAUUCUCUCAGGAUUAGUCGGCAGAAUAUUCCUGAUGGCAUCUAGGUGGUAUAAACUGCAGAAACACUCUUGCAGCUUCCAGUGACAGCAGGAUACUCCUGGUGGUCUGUGCUGGCUCCUGGUUGUCUAUGUGGCAGACUUGAUAUUAUGGGUUCUACAGUGUGCACAUGGCUGGCUACUCAAAGAGGAUGUGGGUUGAUCUCCUUCUUUAUUUAUUUUUAAUUUACUACCUGCCCUUCACCCUGGGUAUCUCAACCUCUAAUGAAGACCCCACUGACACAAAGUCUGAAGAUCUUAAGGGGGUCCUCUGUCUCCAGUGCUACUUUGGAAACCUCCAGCAUCUCUGGUGAAGCAACAAAAGGCCCAUCUGCAGCAGAGGACCGGCAGGGACCCUGGCUCAUCUGGAUGAUGAUGAUGAUGCACAUACCGCUUACUUGCCAAAAUGGCUUCUAAGUGGUUUACAAGCAAAAAGCGGAUACAGAUAUAAAACUGUAGCAGCUCCUUCACCUGUGCAAUUGGAGGGAGAAGUUGAUCCCCUCUGCGCCAGGGAUAAUCAGUGUCAGAAAGUGCAGGCGCAGGCAGUCCAUUGUUGAUGGAAGGCACACUUUGAGACCCAAAAGAACCAGGAUCCUCGUGGCGGACAAGAUGCAAGUGGGAAGGCUGAAAACUGGGGGUGAGUACUCUGCCUCCCUGCGAUUUCUAGCAACACUUCUUCAAAGAUGUAUUGACUUCUCCAGAGAUCCAUGCAAAGUGCAGCUCUACUGCAUUUCUAGUCUGGGUGAUGGUCCCAGUCCUGGUUGAAAGGCAAUAUUCAGAGGCCAGCCAUGAUCAGAAGCCAUGUAGUCUUGCUGUGGGGUUCCUGAGUGGAGAAGAAAGCUAGGACCAACCAGACAAGCACAAGAGGGCACCCCACUUCAGUCCAUGUGAAGAAGCCAACUAGAGACAGGCGGGUGGAUCUCAUUUCACCUCUGGCAAUGGGGCAGUGUCCUUCACCACAACCAAGAGUAACACACACACACACACAGAGACACACCUGUCCUCUAACAAGCUCUCACCCUCCAGAUGUUGCUGAACUGCAACAUCCCUCCUGACCAUUGGCUGUGCUGGCUGGGGCUGAUGGGAGUCAGGGCCCAACAACAUCUGGAGGGCCACGUGCUCUAACACCUUGAUGCCGCUCCCCCAGGGCAUCUACCGCCUGAGGCUCUGCAUCAUGGUAGGGCUGGUCCUAAGAGCCGCGGUGCUGUUGGCCCCACUUCCUUUAAUCUUUUAAGGUUGGGUUAUUUGUGCUGUGGUGCAUGCAACAACCCAGUCUGCAAAGAGGGCAGUUUGCACGGGGCUCAAAGUGAUGUUGAGUCCAACGGCAAAGUCUUGUCAAUUUAAAACUGGGAGCAAUUCCUGCUGAAGUCUUGGUGGAAAAGCUGACUUGAAUCCCACCCUUCUGGCCCCCUCCUGUCUCUCCUGCCACCCUCUCCCUCUCCCUUUGGGGCACUGCUGUAUGCUUGGGCACAGAACCACGACACAAAUUUGCAUAUGCUAAUUUACAAAUGCCUCUGGGCAAACGGAGGUGGUGGGUGGGUGGAGCCUCCCAAACACCAUGCUUAGCAAUGUGCCCAGAUGCCCUGCAAGCAGAAAUUAUUAUUAUUAUUAUUAUUAUUAUUAUUAUUAUUUUAAAGAGAGAACAUGGAGGGCUUUCACAAAAGAUCUGGGGCUGCAGCUUUCUCCCUCUUGCUGAGAAAGAGAGAAAAACUGACAAGUGGUUUCCUCACCCUUUUCCUGGAGCUUAAUUAGCUCCUCUGCGUGAGUCCCCAUUGUGCAAGCUGAAUGCUGCGGCAGGCAGGAGGAAGGGAAGGGGAGGGAAGGGAAGGGAAGGGAAGGGUGGCGCAUCAUCAGUGAGGUCAGACCUGCUGUCCAGUAUAGUGGCCUGAGAGUUGCACAGACACAUGUCAGGCAGCACUCAGAACUGCAAAGACUCUAGUUGCACGUACAUGUACAUUUAAAGCACAUAACUCCCCGCCCCCCUGAAUACUGGGAACUAUAGUUUACCCUCACAGAACUACAAUUCCCAGCAACCUUAAUAAGCUACAGUUCCCAGGAUUUUUUGGAGAAAGUCAUGCUUUUUUGGGAUGUAGGAUAUGGAUCUGCCCUCUUCUGGGAAAAUGCAUUUUCUCUCUCUUACUCUAACUUAUAAGGCAGAGAAAAUGGACCUUUUUUCUGUCAAGUGUUGUAUUUUAUCAGGCGGCUAAUGAGUGCUGCCUGCUUGCAGUGGGUGUGGCCAGAGUUGAAUGAAGCCAAAGCCAGAGCUGCAAGUUGGCUCCCACUUCUCUCUCUCUUGGUCUUGGUCUUUCUCUACCACCUGUCUUCUCUCUCUCUUUUACCCUCUCACCCCCCCCCCCAAUUUCUCCCCUACUUGCCAACUGCAUGAAAGUAGGCCCAGGUGCACUAUAAUAUACUCUCCAUUACAACUGUACAUGCAGAUAAACUUAGAAUGUGCUGCUAUCAUAAGACAAUACUUGGUAUGAAAAGUUGGUCUCCCCUACUAAGUGAGCCUUAGCAGCCUGUGCUACUGGACUUGCCAUAUGUCAGUAAACGGAUGGGGACAAAGAAGGAGUGUGGUGGGUAUUGAAAGGGGAAGGAGCAAAGAAACUAAUGCAUGCUGGUCACAGAGGACAUGUCCUUUAUGUGUACAGGUGGCAAUGAUUUAACACCUGCUCGUGCUGUCUGCAGAGUGUUCAUGUAUGGACACUUGCAAAGCAAUGUCUACAAGAAGUACUUUUUGAAAACCCCAAACCACAGUGCUUCAAAGGCUGAAGUGUGUACACAGCAACAUUCUCUUCUGUGCCGGGAUCUAAUGCCACAUACAGACUGUUUAGCAUAAUUGGUUAAUCCAGGACUGUCCUUCAACCUUCCCCCUUUCUGUCCUCGUGGUACCGUGAAUAAAGAAAAAAGGGUCAAGCCAGAGUUAUAUGCUGUUUUCCCCUUUGGGUUAAACCUGGUCCAUAACUUUGGUUUAACGUUGGUUCAGGAUUUAAUUAGAGCACACCAGGCACCAGCAGUUGUGCCCUAAAUCAUCUUAUCACCAUCUAGCUACU